rnacentral:rRNA from 1 species
CCUACGGGGGGCAGCAGUGGGGAAUAUUGGGCAAUGGGCGCAAGCCUGACCCAGCAACGCCGCGUGAGGGAAGACGGCUUUCGGGUUGUAAACUUCUUUUCUGAGGGGCGAAGAAAGUGACGGUACCUCAGGAAUAAGCCACGGCUAACUACGUGCCAGCAGCCGCGGUAAUUCGUCGGUGGCAAUCGUUAUCCGGAUUUAGGGGGUGUAAAGGGCGUGUAGGCGGGAAAGCAAGUCAGAUGUGAAAACUCAGGGCUCAACCCUGAGCCUGCAUUUGAAACUGUUGUUCUUGAGUGCUGGAGAGGCAAUCGGAAUGCCGUGUGUAGCGGUGAAAUGCAUAGAUAUAGCGAGGAACACCAGUGGCGAAGGCGGAUUGCUGGACAGUAACUGACGCUGAGGCGCGAAAGCGUGGGGAGCGAACAGGAUUUGAUACCCCGGUAGUC